CCUACGGGAGGCAGCAGUGGGGAAUAUUGGACAAUGGGGGCAACCCUGAUCCAGCCAUGCCGCGUGUGUGAAGAAGGCCCUCGGGUUGUAAAGCACUUUCAGUGAGGAAGAACGCCUGGUGGUUAAUACCCAUCAGGAAAGACAUCACUCACAGAAGAAGCACCGGCUAACUCCGUGCCAGCAGCCGCGGUAAUACGGAGGGUGCGAGCGUUAAUCGGAAUUACUGGGCGUAAAGCGCGCGUAGGUGGCUUGAUAAGCCGGUUGUGAAAGCCCCGGGCUCAACCUGGGAACGGCAUCCGGAACUGUCCAGCUAGAGUGCAGGAGAGGAAGGUAGAAUUCCCGGUGUAGCGGUGAAAUGCGUAGAGAUCGGGAGGAAUAACAGUGGCGAAGGCGGCCUUCUGGACUGACACUGACACUGAGGUGCGAAAGCGUGGGUAGCAAACAGGAUUAGAUACACUUGUAGUC
rnacentral:rRNA from 1 species